UGGGGAAUUUUGCGCAAUGGGCGAGAGCCUGACGCAGCAACGCCGCGUGGAGGAUGAAGGUCUUCGGAUCGUAAACUCCUGUCAGUGGGGACGAAUGCUUCGAAAGAAGUUUGACUGUACCCGCUGAGGAAGCCACGGCUAACUCCGUGCCAGCAGCCGCGGUAAUACGGAGGUGGCAAGCGUUGUUCGGAAUUACUGGGCGUAAAGGGCGCGUAGGCGGUUUUGCAAGUCAGAUGUGAAAGCCCCGGGCUUAACUCGGGAAUUGCAUCUGAAACUGCUUAACUUGAGUCCUGGAUGGGGUAGUGGAAUUCCCAGUGUAGCGGUGAAAUGCGUAGAUAUUGGGAGGAACACCUGCGGCGAAGGCGGCUACCUGGACAGUGACUGACGCUGAGGCGCGAAAGCUAGGGGAGCGAACGG
rnacentral:rRNA from 1 species